rnacentral:rRNA from 1 species
ACGGGCGAGUAACGCGUGGGAAUCUACCCUUUUCUACGGAAUAACGCAGGGAAACUUGUGCUAAUACCGUAUGUGUCCUUCGGGAGAAAGAUUUAUCGGGAAAGGAUGAGCCCGCGUUGGAUUAGCUAGUUGGUGGGGUAAAGGCCUACCAAGGCGACGAUCCAUAGCUGGUCUGAGAGGAUGAUCAGCCACAUUGGGACUGAGACACGGCCCAAACUCCUACGGGAGGCAGCAGUGGGGAAUAUUGGACAAUGGGCGCAAGCCUGAUCCAGCCAUGCCGCGUGAGUGAUGAAGGCCCUAGGGUUGUAAAGCUCUUUCACCGGAGAAGAUAAUGACGGUAUCCGGAGAAGAAGCCCCGGCUAACUUCGUGCCAGCAGCCGCGGUAAUACGAAGGGGGCUAGCGUUGUUCGGAAUUACUGGGCGUAAAGCGCACGUAGGCGGAUCGAUCAGUCAGGGGUGAAAUCCCAGGGCUCAACCCUGGAACUGCCUUUGAUACUGUCGAUCUGGAGUAUGGAAGAGGUGAGUGGAAUUCCGAGU